GCCUGGUUAGCUCAAUCGGUAGAGCGUGAGACUCUUAUACCAUAAGAGGCCAUCUCAAGGCUGCGGGUUCGAUCCCCGCAUCGGGCU
rnacentral:tRNA from 1 species